ensembl:ncRNA lncRNA:CR44395 long non-coding RNA:CR44395
AUAAAUGAUAUAAAAAGACCAGCAGCAGAUGGAGUAAAGUAAUAGAAAAAAAACAGAACCAAGAUAAGAUAAAAUUUCAUUAUGUCGAUUUUGUGGAUUUUUCUAUGUAAAGAGAAAACUGUUGGGGGAAAAAAUGGCGAAAAAAUGUGGAAAAAUAGGAAGCUCGAAUGGCUGCAAGUGGCUCAAAAAGUGCCUCAAGAUGUGGCAACAUUGGUCCAGGACAGCAGUUACUUUGCAUCUUUUAAGCACUGCUACUCGGACGGGACACAAGGAUAAAAAAGCAAUGUCAGUGGGAAGAUUGAAGGUAAAGGGAUAAAGAAGUUUUCAUUGGUUUCGGCUGCGGGCUGAUGCAGCUGAAGCAGCUUCAGGUAUUCGCUCAUCCUUUUUAUCCAGGCUCAUCAAAAUCAUUCAUUUGCAUGAAGCCAAAUUGCCAAGCUGGAAGCCAGGAAUUGAGUUGAGCUGAUAAGGAUUUUUAUGGAAUGUUAGAGAUGCCUUU